rnacentral:tmRNA from 6 species
GGGAGUGCAAGCUUUGACAGUUGUUCUUUUAAAAAUAAUGCAAAUCGAGUAUUCUAAAACCUCGCAAAACUUUUAGAAAACCAAUAGUUGCCAAUAUUUUCAACAAGCAACCAGCAUUAGCAUACGCUUAAUGCCAUCUUUCCCAUCAACUCCUGAUAGAUGGAGUAAAGGUGUUAUAUUAUCAGGAUAGACAGCUUCUUGCCUUCGGAAGUUUGUUAAAAUUAAACGUUGGCUAAGGUGUUAAUAAUUUUGUUUAUUUCUUAAUUAAUACUCCAACAACAAAAUAAACUAAAUUUGUAGAUUUAUUUUUAAAUAACUUCUGGACGCGAUUUCAAUAUCGCCACUUCCACCA